rnacentral:misc_RNA from 1 species
GCUUCUAUAGCUCAGUAGGU